UACGAAGGGGGCUAGCGUUGUUCGGAAUUACUGGGCGUAAAGGGCGCGUAGGCGGCCUUGUAAGUCAGAUGUGAAAGCCCCGGGCUCAACCCGGGAAUAGCAUUUGAUACUGCGAGGCUUGAGUCCGGGAGAGGAUGGCGGAAUUCCCAGUGUAGAGGUGAAAUUCGUAGAUAUUGGGAAGAACACCGGUGGCGAAGGCGGCCAUCGGGACCGGUACUGACGAUGAGGCGCGAAAGCGUGGGGAGCAAACAGG
rnacentral:rRNA from 1 species